UACGUAGGGCGCAGCGUUAUCCGGAAUUAUUGGGCGUAAAGAGCUCGUAGGCGGUUUGUCGCGUCUGCCGUGAAAGUCCGGGGCUCAACUCCGGAUCUGCGGUGGGUACGGGCAGACUAGAGUGAUGUAGGGGAGACUGGAAUUCCUGGUGUAGCGGUGAAAUGCGCAGAUAUCAGGAGGAACACCGAUGGCGAAGGCAGGUCUCUGGGCAUUAACUGACGCUGAGGAGCGAAAGCAUGGGGAGCGAACAGG
rnacentral:rRNA from 1 species